GCUUAAUUCGAAGCAACGCGAAGAACCUUACCUGGGCUUGACAUGUAUGGAUUAGUUCAUGGAAACAUGAAUGACGCCCUUGGGUGGAACAUACACAGGUGCUGCAUGGCUGUCGUCAGCUCGUGCUGUGAAGUGUCGGGUUAAGUCCCUUAACGAGCGCAACCCUUAUCGCUAGUUGCCAGCGCGUCAUGGCGGGGACUCUAGCGAGACUGCCGGUGUCAAACCGGAGGAAGGUGGGGAUGACGUCAAGUCAUCAUGGCCCUUACGCCCAGGGAUGCAAACGUGCUACAAUGGCGUGUACAAAGCGAUGCAAUAUCGUGAGAUGGAGCAAAUCGCAAAAAGCACGCCUCAGUUCGGAUUGGAGUCUGCAACUCGACUCCAUGAAGCUGGAAUCGCUAGUAAUCGGAGAUCAGCUACGCUCCGGUGAAUACGUUCCUGAGCCUUGUACACACCGCCCGUCAA
rnacentral:rRNA from 1 species